CCCCCCCUCUGGGCGGCCCUGAGUCUGAGCUGAAGGGUGGUAUGAAAUGCAAAUAUGUGUUCUGUCAUCUUUUGGCACCAUAUAAUGUGUUUGCUUGUGGCCCUCAAUGCAAGAUCUCAGUCCCUUGAUUUUACAGCCAUUAUGAAACGCUACUGGAGAAUGUGGCCCACCAUUACAUGAUGGCUGCCUUGUGUGUUCUUCAGAGGUG